AAUGAACGUUGGCGGCGUGGAUUAGGCAUGCAAGUCGAGCGCGAUGUUCCCUUCGGGGAGCGGAAAGCGGCGAAAGGGAGAGUAACACGUGGUUGAUCUGCCUCUAGAUCUGGGAUAGCUGCGGGAAACUGCAGGUAAUACCGGAUAAUGUCUCCGGACCAAAGGUGUGAUUCCGUCUAGAGAUGAGACCGCGUCCUAUUAGCUUGUUGGUAGGGUAACGGCCUACCAAGGCAAUGAUGGGUACCGGGUGUGAGAUCAUGGCCCGGCUCACUGGGACUGAGACACAGCCCAGACUCCUACGGGUGGCUGCAGUCGAGAAUCUUCGGCAAUGGACGCAAGUCUGACCGAGCGACGCCGCGUGCGGGAUGAAGGCCUUCGGGUUGUAGACCGCCGUCAGUUGGGAGGAAAUCUAUAGGGAUUCUCCCCUGUAGUUGACCGAUCUUCUGAGGAAGUACGGGCUAAGUUCGUGCCAGCAGCCGCAGUAAAAC
rnacentral:rRNA from 1 species